GCCGGCUGGGGGUUAGGGGUUACCCCAAGACGGUGCAGGCAGUGGGACGAGGAGGCCUUUUACCCCCAUCCACCGCAGCCCUUGACUUCACGCUCGCCUCGAAGCUUUCGCAAAGUAGAUACGGGGACUGACCCUGUUGACACACUAACCCAAACUCGCAGACGCGUGGGGCUCGCAUGUACCCAAGACAGGAAAACUUCACGUUGGCCUGGAAACUUCUUCCAGGCUAAGCCUGAGUCUUCACCAGACACUGCAGCACGAAGGCCCUUCUGCCUUUUGGCUCGCCCUGGCCCAGAAUGCGCACCAGCCGGUAGAGAGGAGCUUCGGGCCGUUUAGCCCUGGGACGGACUCUUCUUGCUCUGUUGCCCAGGCUGAAGUCCAGUGGUGCAAUCCCAGCUCACUGCAACCUCCGCCUCCCGGGUUCAAGUGAUUUUCCUGCCUCAGCUUCCUGAGUAGCUGGGACUACAGGCAAGAGAAAGAGGCCCACUGCAAUAUGCUGUGAAGAAUACAUAAGAAGUCAAACUGUUGACCUCUUUUCCCCAGCCCGUUCCAAAACUACAUCCCUGAGGAGUUGUGCACCUCUACGGAAAGUUCAGAUGAAAGAGCUAAUUCCCCUUGAUCUCUCUUCUUGUUCAGAGUGGAGGAAAAACAUAUACCAUCCCUUCCAUCAAUCCUCAGCAUAACUUUGCCAGGGACACUGG
rnacentral:lncRNA from 10 species